AAUAGAACCACAGACGUGGCGGUUCUGUUGGCCAUUUGGUACUGCGUCUCUUCGGUAGCGAUCAAAUUAAUUUUGAGCGGCGCCGAAAAUUCGUUUGAAAGAAACAUCGAGUUGAUCCCACAAAGUUCAGCCGUUGAUUUCUGCAACCCUUACUAUUAUCUACAGGAAGAAGCCGAUCCUCAGUUUCGUUCAUCAAGCAGCUCAAGGUACAUUGAUCAGCUCUCCAGAUUCCUUACGGUUGAGUACAAGAGUAAUGGGAUUGAUGUUCAGUUUCAAGUAGGAACAGAGUGAACUAUUUCCUUUGCAAGUUCAAUCAGCCAUAUAUAUAUAUAUAUAUAUAUAUAUAUAUUUAGCUUUUCUUCAUGCAAUGAGAUCCUUACUUUUUUAUCCACAGCUAAAACAAAAUGCCCCCAGUAAACAUUAUAUAUUGUAGUAGGUCAAGAAUCCCACAGGCCUAGAGAGUCAGGAAGUUAGACUUUUUGCUUUGAUAUCACCAGUAGAUUCAGAUGCACAAGUUGAUGGGCUAUGGAAAAAUUCAACCAUUCAAUAUGUUCUAUAGUAUGUUCUAUAGUAUGUUCUAUAGUAUGGUUUGGAAGCUACUAAAUAUCUAUAACAAAUGCAUACUAUAGAACAUAUUAAAUGGUUGAAUUUUUCCAUAGCCCAUCAACUUGUGCAACUAGCCAUGGGGCAUGGGCGCUGGGAUGGAACGACUUUAUGGGUCAUGUUCGUACCUCCAUGUCCUUGAGUUCUAUGGAGAAAUUGUAUAUUACUAGGAAGGUUGAAUCACACUGAGGUUUCAAAUUGAGUUUUCUUCAUCAACUAGCCAUGGGGCUUGCUUGCUGCUA